UACGUAGGUGGCAAGCGUUGUCCGGAUUUAUUGGGCUUAAAGGGUGCGUAGGCGGUCUUUUAAGUCAGUGCUGAAAUAUCCCGGCUUAACCGGGAGGGUGGCAUUGAUACUGAAGGACUUGAGUACAGUCGAGGUAGGCGGAAUUGACGGUGUAGCGGUGAAAUGCUUAGAUAUCGUCAAGAACACCGAUAGUGUAGACAGCUUACUAGGCUGAAACUGACGCUGAGGCACGAAAGUGUGGGGAUCAAACAGG
rnacentral:rRNA from 1 species